UUCUGAUUUAUCAGCCAAAAAAUCAAGUACCUACUCUCUCAGAGAUGUGGAUAGAUAUUAAGGUUGUUCAAACUCACAACAGCUUUUGUCCAGAUGAUGUUUUCUUCAAUUUUAUUGAGAUAUGUUUGACAUGCAGGUAAGUUGAAGGUGUACAGUAAAAUGAUUUGAUUUAUAUACAUUAAGAAAUGAUUACCAUAAUAAUUUUAAUAAGCAGCUACAUCUUAUAUAUAGACACAAGAUUAAAGAAACAGAAACAUUUUUUAUUUUUUAUUUAAGGCAUGUGCAUUUUUUGAGAUAAUG
ensembl:lncRNA